rnacentral:misc_RNA from 1 species
AAAACGCCGAAAAGCAAAGGCGGACGGCCUGAUUAACUUCAAGCACCAUUAUCAAUAACUAAUGGUGAGCAUUCCAGUGGCAACCUUCGGCUCAGCAGGCCAAAAAAUUCCUCUUCUAGGCUUUGGCACAGCUGAUUUUCCAUUUGGAGAAUAUGAAGCAGUGAAACAAUCAGUUCGCCAUGCAAUUGAAGUUGGCUAUAGACACUUUGACACUGCUGCUGUUUACCAGUCUGAGAAGCCUCUCGGCGAUGCCAUUGCUGAAGCAUUGCACAGGGGGCUAAUCAAAUCACGCGAUGAGCUUUUCGUUACCUCCAAGCUCUUCAGCAGCAACGCUCAUUCUCACCUUGUUCUUCCUGCUCUACAGGAGACUCUCAAGAAUCUUGGAUUGGAGUACCUUGAUUUAUAUCUAAUUCACUUUCCUGUGAGUUUGAAGCCAGAAGCCCAGUUCCCAUUUAAACCAGAUGAAACUCUUGUGAUGGAUUUUGAGUCUGUUUGGAAGGCCAUGGAGGAGUGCCAAAAUCUUGGCCUUACAAAAUCAAUAGGAGUUAGCAACUUUACAUGCAAGAAGAUUGAGAAAUUGCUUGCCACUGCAAGAAUUCCUCCGGCAGUCAAUCAAGUGGAGAUGCACAUUUUUUGGCAGCAGAAGCAGCUGAGAAAAUUAUGCGAGGAAAAGGGUAUCCAUAUGACAGCCUACUCUGCAUUGGGACCGAAAGGAACUCCUUGGGAAGGCAAUAAUAAACCCAUAGAAUGUCAAGUGGUGAAAGAGAUUGCUAGUGGCAGAGGAAAGACAGCGGCUCAGGUGUGUCUGAGAUGGGUGCACGAGCAAGGUGUUAGUGUUGUUGUGAAGAGCUUUAACAAGGAAAGAAUGAAAGAAAACUUGAAGAUAUUUGAUUGGGAGCUAAGUGAGGAAGACUUGCAAAAGAUAAAUCAAAUUCAACAAAAAAGAGGUAAUCUAGCAGAGGCAUUCGUCGCAGAUGAAAGUCCCUACAAGUCUCUCUCUGAGCUCUGGGAUGGAGAGCUGUAGAUGAAUUAUUAGGUACAUUCGGUGCACAAACAGUACUAUUUUUUAGUGCUUUUGGUGUACUUAAUAAUUAGCCAAAACUGUAAUUUUCUUAUACUAGAAAGGCUAAUUAUUAGGUAUACCCGGAGCACUAAAAAAUAGUGCUCCUUCUCUCACAGAAGGUGUGUCUUUCCUAUUAUAUAGGUAGUGGGUCCCAUAUGAUUGUUAGAGAAGGUGUAUGUACACCGGGUGCACCUAAUAAUUCCUCUACUAGAAAUCCAAAUAUUAGUGU